UAGACGAUUUAAUCGGGAUAUUGGUUGAUAGAUAACAAUUGCUUAGUGUUUAGUUUAAUUAUGAAGCAGUUGUUAUUAUUGCACCAAGUAGAAUUUUAAAAAUAGGUAAAGUGUGAAUAUCUUUCACGUAAGUUGCAAAAUUUAGUGCAGUACGAUGGCAAGUAUGAGUGUGUGUAUGUAUAUGUGUGCGCAAAAAGUGUAAAAAGUGAAAAAAAAUUUCGGCACUUAUUUAAUUCACAAGUUUCGACGUGAAAUCUUGUUUCCUGAAAUUAGCCGGAGCGGACAAUGGACUCAGGACAUGGCCAAAAUACAUCCUGUUAUAUUAUUUUAGUGUGAAAUUUGGUUGCAUUCGAUUAGGAAUCUUAUCCCAUUGUUUCCUACGGUAAAUUGGCCGCAUCAGACUAUGGGCUCUGAAGCUAUGGCUUGUCAUGUCCGGAGGAGACGGCUGCAUCCGAAUCAGCCAUCUCCAGCUGCUGCUCGAUCUCCCGAGAGGGUAUCCCUGGUAGGGUAAACAAUCCGCUACUACAUGGCUAUAAUAUGAUUUUCGAUUCUAUAAACUCAUAGAAAAGUCUCUGCCAGAUUAUGGGAGCUGAAUGGAACAAUUUUCGAAGCCAUUCGAAUUUCAGACAAGAAUCAAUCUGCAAUCAUCGACGUCAGGAAAAUGACUAUCAUCUCUGAUGGAUCCUACGAAUCGUACCUUUCAAUACAAGGACCGGGACUAAUGCCAACGGCGCGGAGUAGAAUCCAGGCAUACUGGGAAGUGAAAC